rnacentral:rRNA from 1 species
UACGAAGGGGGCUAGCGUUGUUCGGAAUUACUGGGCGUAAAGGGUGCGCAGGCGGGAUCUUAAGUCAGGGGUGAAAUCCCGAGGCUCAACCUCGGAACUGCCCUUGAUACUGGGGUUCUUGAGUCCGGAAGAGGUGGGUGGAACUGCGAGUGUAGAGGUGAAAUUCGUAGAUAUUCGCAAGAACACCGGUGGCGAAGGCGGCCCACUGGUCCGGAACUGACGCUGAGGCACGACAGCGUGGGGAGCAAACAGG